UCCGGUUUGUCACCGGCAGUCUCGUAUGAGUCCCCAACUAAAUGCUGGCGACAUACGACGAGGGUUGCGCUCGUUGCGGGACUUAACCCAACAUCUCACGACACGAGCUGACGACAGCCAUGCACCACCUGUGAUCCUGCCCCAAAGGGGAAGCCGUGUUUCCACGGCGGUCAGAAACAUGUCAAACCCAGGUAAGGUUCUUCGCGUUGCGUCGAAUUAAACCACAUGCUCCGCUGCUUGUGCGGGUCCCCGUCAAUUCCUUUGAGUUUUAAUCUUGCGACCGUACUCCCCAGGCGGAAUGCUUAAAGCGUUAGCUGCGCCACUGACAGGCAAGCCUGCCAACGGCUAGCAUUCAUCGUUUACGGCGUGGACUAC
rnacentral:misc_RNA from 1 species